UUCUUCAAGUAAAUCAAAUUAAUAAUAAUCAAUAAGAAGGCAUAUGCCAAUACAAAUACGUGAAUUUAUAUAUGUACAUAUGCGCAUAUACAUACAUAUAUACGCUCACUUAAGUAGGGGAGAGCAAGAUGUCGAACGUUGCCGUUCGUUUGCUUUGUUUGCUUUGUCGUUCCUUCCGCGCUUUCGCUUGCAGUUCAUUCAAUGCAAUGAGCAAGGUAACUACAUAUGAGCAAGGUAACACUAAUAUGAGCAAGGUAACACUAAUGAGCAAGGUAACACUAAAGAGCAAGGUAACACUAAUGAGCAAGGUAACUACAUAUGAGCAAGGUAACGACACAUUUUUUCGUGCGUGCAGCCUGUUAAAUCGAAUUAUAAGACGUUAU